rnacentral:rRNA from 1 species
GCGGAGGGAUCAUUACUGAGUUACCGCUCUACAACCCUUUGUGAACAUACCUUAACUGUUGCUUCGGCGGGCAGGAGGACAACCCCCCUCGGGGGGCGGUCCCCCUCCCGGCCGCGCCCUCACGGGCGUGGCGCCCGCCGGAGGAUACCAAAACUCUAUUUUAACGACGUUUCUUCUGAGUGGCACAAGCAAAUAAUUAAAACUUUUAACAACGGAUCUCUUGGUUCUGGCAUCGAUGAAGAACGCAGCGAAAUGCGAUAAGUAAUGUGAAUUGCAGAAUUCAGUGAAUCAUCGAAUCUUUGAACGCACAUUGCGCCCGCCAGCAUUCUGGCGGGCAUGCCUGUUCGAGCGUCAUUUCAACCCUCAAGCCCAGCUUGGUGUUGGGGCCCUACGGUCGACGUAGGCCCUUAAAGGUAGUGGCGGACCCUCCCGGAGCCUCCUUUGCGUAGUAACUUAACGUCUCGCACUGGGAUCCGGAGGGACUCUUGCCGUAAAACCCCCAAAACUUUUACAGGUUGACCUCGGAUCAGGUAGGAAUACCCGCUGAACUUAAGCAUAU